CCGCUGGCUGCAACACCUUCACUUCCUGCCACCUGCGGCCCCUGCCCUGGCAUUGGAAGCUGUGAGCGGAUUAGCACUUUCUCCUCAAAGAUGCGGUGGCUCAGCGGUGGAGCCCGUAGCCUCUGACAGAUGAAGUCUAGCAGCCAGCCCCUCGCUGCAUCUAUCGGCACUUGCGGGUUGUCGCUGCCUCGAUGCUACGGUCCCGCGUGCCUGGAGAAAACAGACGAAGCUGUUUCUGUCCAGGGAGCUGGAUCCGGGUCAGUUCCCAGGAUGCUCUCUGCGGACGGGGCUCCUGCGCUCCCUCUUUCGGUCAGAGGAGAAUUGCACGUCUGCCGUCCUUAGAGACCUCUUACCACGUGACUUGAUCCAGCCAAUGGAAAGUGUCUGCAGUGAGAGUGGAGAGAAGCCGAGAGGGGCUGCUGCCGCCUGUCCGUCCGUCUGUCCGUCCGCCCAUCUGUCCGUCCGUCCCCAGUAGGUAGUUUCCUGCUGGGCAGUGUAAGCACAGGCUUUGAUGAUGUUUUGCUAUCUACCUUUCACUUGCUAUUUAUUAUUUUUAAUUUAUUUUAAUUUUUACUUUAUUUUUGGGGUUUCAAGACAUGUUUUUUCUGGGUAACUCUGGCUGUCCUAGAACAGGACAGCUCUGUAGACCAGGCUGGCCUUGAACUCACAGAGAUCUGCUUGUCUCUCUUGCCUCCUGAGUAUUGGGAUUGAAGGCAUAAGCCACCGUGCCUGACUUGCUGUUUAUUGUUUUUUACUU